UAAAGUCAGCCACUGCCUUUUCGGGGAAA
rnacentral:sRNA from 1 species